GACGAACGCUGGCGGCGUGCCUAAUACAUGCAAGUAGAACGCACAGUUUAUACCUUAGCUUGCUACACCAUAAACUGUGAGUUGCGAACGGGUGAGUAACGCGUAGGUAACCUGCCUGGUAGCGGGGGAUAACUAUUGGAAACGAUAGCUAAUACCGCAUAAUAUUGAUUAUUGCAUGAUAAUUGAUUGAAAGAUGCUAUUGCAUCACUACCAGAUGGACCUGCGUUGUAUUAGCUAGUAGGUGAGGUAACGGCUCACCUAGGCGACGAUACAUAGCCGACCUGAGAGGGUGAGCGGCCAAACUGGGACUGAGACACGGCCCAGAAUACUACGGGAGGCAGCAGUAGGGAAUCUUCGGCAAUGGACGAAAGUCUGACCGAGCAACGCCGCGUGAGUGAAGAAGGUUUUCGGAUCGUAAAGCUCUGUUGUAAGAGAAGAAAGGGUGUGAGAGUGGAAAGUUCACACUGUGACGGUAUCUUACCAGAAAGGGACGGCUAACUACGUG
rnacentral:rRNA from 1 species